rnacentral:lncRNA from 1 species
AAACGGGGGGAAAACAGCGGGAAACGGAAAAAUGGGGUGAAAAAUGGGGAAAAAUGGGGAGAAACGGGAAAAAACGGGGGGAAAAUGGGGGGAAAACACGGGAAAACGGGAAAAAACGGGAAAAACGGGGGGAAAACAGCGGGAAACGGGAAAAACGGGGAAAAACGGGGAGAAACGGCGGAAAACGGGAAAAAAUGGGGAAAAACACGGGAAAAUGGGAAAAACGAGGGGAAAAAUGGGGAAUUCAGGGGAAAAAUGGGGUGAAAACGGGGGAAAACGGGGAAAAAUGGGGGGAAAUGGGGAAUUCAGGGGAAAAACGGGGGGAAAACACCGGGAAAUGGGGAAAAACGGGGGGAAAACAGUGGGAAAACGGGAAAAAAUGGGGGGAAAAUGGGGAAUUCAGGGGAAAAACGGGGGGAAAACACCGGGAAACGGGAAAAAUGGGGGGAAAACACGGGAAAACACCGGGAAAAUGGGAAAAAUGGGAGAAAAAUGGGGAGAAACGGGAAAAAAACACGGGAAAAUGGGGAGAAACGGGGAGAAAACACCAGAAAACGGGAAAAAACGGGGAAAAAUGGGGAAUUCAGGGGAAAAAUGGGGAGAAAACACGGGAAAAUGGGGAAAAACGGGGAGAAAACACAAGAAAACAGGAGAAAAUGGGGGAAAAUGGGGAAAAACGGGGAAAAAUGGGGAGAAAACACGGGAAAACGGGGAAAAAUGCGGAAAAACCGGAAUUUUAGGGGUAUUUAGGGGAAUUUGGGGGGAAAAUUGGGAAUUUGGGGCUGUUCCAGUCCAUACCAGUUUAAACCAGUACAAACCAGUCUAAACCAGUCCAAACCAGUUCAAACCAGUACAAACCAGUGGGGUUGGGCGGGGCCUCAGGGGGCGGCUCCGUCUCGAACUCAACGUUCCCGGCCUGGGGCGGGAGAGAAACCAGAACAAACCAGAACAAACCAGAACAAACCAGUUCAAACCAGUUCAAACCGGUUCAAACCAGUAUAAACCAGUAACCCCAACCCCCAUUUCCCGCCAUUUUUAACCCUUUAUUCCCCAUUUUUAACCCUUUCUUCCCCAAUUUUAACCCAUUUUUAACCCUUUCUUUCCCAUAUUUUCCCCAUUUUUUCACCGUU